rnacentral:rRNA from 1 species
UACGUAGGGGGCAAGCGUUAUCCGGAUUCACUGGGUGUAAAGGGAGCGUAGACGGCCAUGCAAGCCUGGAGUGAAAGCCCGGGGCCCAACCCCGGGACUGCUCUGGGAACUGUGCGGCUGGAGUGCGGGAGGGGCAGGCGGAAUUCCUGGUGUAGCGGUGAAAUGCGUAGAUAUCAGGAGGAACACCGGCGGCGAAGGCGGCCUGCUGGACCGCGACUGACGUUGAGGCUCGAAAGCGUGGGGAGCAGACAGG